UUGUGUCUAAUUUCCAUAUGUAUGUUUGACUUCUCAGCUUAAUUACCAAAUUCUCAUCAUAAUCCACAUUAAAUAUUGAAAACAUAACAGUUAGAUGUCUCUUCAACUUCAGGCACUUUUUAUGUCCCAGAGGUUGAUUUUUAUUCAACAGAAUCUUUUUUUUCUUCUUCUUUUUUUCUCUGUUAUAUAAAGGUCAUAAUAAAGUCAGUGGUCUUGGAAACUUUUAAUCAUGGACCAAUUUAUUAAUUCUUCUUUUCAAAUUUUUUUUAUGUGUUAGACUAUACAAAGAAAUGUCUGUUUUAAAAAAAUAGGGUCCAAUGUAUUGUGUUUAUAUGAAGAAAUUUUCCAUACUGAUUUUUCACAGGUAGGGUUAAAGAAAAUGUCUAUAAACCUAACAUAAAAUUUUUCGACUUAUUUUUUGCUAAAGUGUAUAUUUUACUGUAAUACUCUUGUCUCAGAGUUUCAAUCAUCAAAAUAUAAAAAUUCAUAAAAAAUUGAAAAAACCUUUUUCUCCCAAUUUAUUUUUAAUACUCUUACUGAUUAGACAUGCAAAGGAAGUAAGCAUCUUGUCUUUAAAAAAUACCAUAUAAAUAGACUUGAGACUAGAUAGCAUCUUCAAAACAGAAGCUAACCUGCAGAAAUGUUCCUCUUGUGGUUAUCUGAAUAUUUUAAAACAUCAUGCAGCUCUGUUGAAAAUUAGCUCUGAUGAUGAUCAUGGUUCUUGUGUGUGUUACUGCGCAGCAAGUCAACUAUCGUCGCCCCACUCGUGUUGGAGUGAACUGCUAUAAGGAUGUGACGAAAGCAAGAAUACCUCCGGCAACUAAAGUGUGAAGUGUGCUGGAUUAAAGACCGCCUGAAAGGUACACCGCUAAAAUUAAUAUAACAUCUUAAUAUUAUGCUUAUGUCCUGAUGAAACACUCAUAAAAUGAUAAUUUUUCAUCCAGGUCUGAAGGAGAUAAUAGACUGAGUCAACAGGAGCUGAGAAAAUACUGCAUAUCUAUCUAUUUAUUUAUGAAUACAUCUUUCUAUAAAAAGCGAAUGUAUAUUAUGUUUAUAUUUAAGCAAAAACAACAACAACAAAAAACAGAUACCCUUUAGAUUCUGUGAAUAUUAAGAGAUUUCUUAAUCACUUUGUUUAACUUUAAAAUUAAAAUGCAAUUUUUGGACAUUUUCAACACAAACAUACAGCCUUUUCUCUGUAACAGAUUGGACUGUAUUUAAUCAUAUUUAAGCUGAAUCAUUAAAGAAAUAGUUAACACAAAAAGGGAAAUUCUGUCAUAAUUUCUCACUCUCUUGUCAUUCUGAAUCUAUGACU
rnacentral:lncRNA from 1 species